rnacentral:lncRNA from 1 species
UCCCCUUUUUGCUGGAUGUGUCUUUCAUCUGAUCACAUCUUCUUUCCUAUUACAAUCAGAAUAUAUAUACACAUAUAUUAUAUUAAAGUACUUCCUCCUCUCUCCAGGUGAACAGUGGGACUUGUCUUCAGCUUCAGGUGGAACAGCUCUGACCUGUGUGGGGAUCUGUGUGGAGAGGAGAGACACCUGGUCCAACAAGGUGAUGGACGGUUGAAAGGACGAAUCACCGAGA